UCAUAUCUUACUCAAGUUUAAUAUCCCAAAAGGGCUCCCCAUUGCCCUCAGGCUGAAUUCUGAAGCCCUUCCCAAAGCCUGCGAGGGUCUGCCGCAUCUAGCCCCAGUGACCUCUUCCUCUUGGGCUACAGCUCAUAGAUGUCCUUCCAUUCUCCUAGGGAGCCCUGUGCCCACCCACUUCGGGCUCCCAGGGACUGUGCUGCUCCCCGUCACUCUCCCUGCCCAUCUCUUCCUCCUGUGCUAGGUCUCUAAUCAAGUGGCCACUCUGGGAAACCCUCCUUGACUUUUUUUUUUUUUUGAGACAGAGACACAACAGAAUGGAAAGCGAAUUGACAGGGAGCAUUCUGUUGUGGAAUGGAUCAGUUGCUCCCUGUGAAUUUGCUUUCAGUCCUAUUUACCGUGGGGUACAAAGCCUCAGUUUG
rnacentral:lncRNA from 1 species